GAUGAACGCUGGCGGCGUGCUUAACACAUGCAAGUCGAACGGGAAACCUUUUAAUGAAGCUUCGGCAGAUUUAGCUGGUUUCUAGUGGCGGACGGGUGAGUAACGCGUGGGUAACCUGCCUUAUACAGGGGGAUAACAGUCAGAAAUGACUGCUAAUACCGCAUAAGCGCACAGGACCGCAUGGUCCGGUGUGAAAAACUCCGGUGGUAUAAGAUGGACCCGCGUUGGAUUAGCUUGUUGGUGGGGUAACGGCUCACCAAGGCGACGAUCCAUAGCCGGCCUGAGAGGGUGAACGGCGACAUUGGGACUGAGACACGGCCCAGACUCCUACGGGAGGCAGCAGUGGGGAAUAUUGCACAAUGGGGGAAACGCUGAUGCAGCGACGCCGCGUGAAGGAAGAAGUAUCUCGGGAAGUAAACUUCUAUCAGCAGGGAAGAUAGUGACGGUACCUGACGAAGAAGCCCCGGCUAACUACGUG
rnacentral:rRNA from 1 species